GGUCCUAAAACAAUGCAAGUCGAGCGGAUGAAGGGAGCUUGCUCCUGGAUUCAGCGGCGGACGGGUGUAGUAAUGCCUAGGAAUCUGCCUGGUAGUGGGGGAUAACGUCCGGAAACGGGCGCUAAUACCGCAUACGUCCUGAGGGAGAAAGUGGGGGAUCUUCGGACCUCACGCUAUCAGAUGAGCCUAGGUCGGAUUAGCUAGUUGGUGGGGUAAAGGCCUACCAAGGCGACGAUCCGUAACUGGUCUGAGAGGAUGAUCAGUCACACUGGAACUGA
rnacentral:rRNA from 1 species